UACGUAGGGUGCAAGCGUUGUCCGGAAUUAUUGGGCGUAAAGGGCUCGUAGGCGGUCCAUCGCGUCGGGAGUGAAAAGCUGGGGCUUAACCCCAGUCCUGCUUCCGAUACGGGUGGACUAGAGGUAGGCAGGGGAGAACGGAAUUCCUGGUGUAGCGGUGAAAUGCGCAGAUAUCAGGAAGAACACCCGUGGCUAAGGCGGCUCUCUAGUACGGUACUGACGCUGAGACGCGAAAGCGUGGGGAGCGAACAGG
rnacentral:rRNA from 1 species